rnacentral:rRNA from 1 species
GAGUUUGAUCGUGGCUCAGAACGAACGCUGGCGGCAGGCCUAAUACAUGCAAGUCGAACGCACCGCAAGGUGAGUGGCAGACGGGUGAGUAACGCGUGGGAACCUUCCUUGCAGUACGGAAUAACUCCGGGAAACCGGUGCUAAUACCGUAUACGCCCCUCGGGGGAAAGAUUUAUCGCUGCAAGAUGGGCCCGCGUCGGAUUAGCUAGUUGGUGGGGUAAUGGCCUACCAAGGCUACGAUCCGUAGCUGGUCUGAGAGGAUGAUCAGCCACACUGGGACUGAGACACGGCCCAGACUCCUACGGGAGGCAGCAGUAGGGAAUAUUGGACAAUGGGCGAAAGCCUGAUCCAGCCAUGCCGCGUGAGUGAAGAAGGCCUUAGGGUUGUAAAGCUCUUUUGGCGGGACGAUAAUGACGGUACCCGCAGAAUAAGCUCCGGCUAACUUCGUGCCAGCAGCCGCCGCAGUAAU